rnacentral:rRNA from 1 species
CUCCUACGGGAGGCAGCAGUGGGGAAUAUUGGGCAAUGGGCGCAACUGACCCAGCAACGCCGCGUGAAGGAAGAAGGCUUUCGGGUUGUAAACUUCUUUUAAGAGGGAAGAGUAGAAGACGGUACCUCUAGAAUAAGCCACGGCUAACUACGUGCCAGCAGCCGCGGUAAUACGUAGGUGGCAAGCGUUGUCCGGAUUUACUGGGUGUAAAGGGCGUGCAGCCGGGUCUGCAAGUCAGAUGUGAAAUCCAUGGGCUCAACCCAUAAAUUGCUUUCAAAACUGCUGGCCUUGAGUAGUGCAGAGGUAGGUGGAAUUCCCGGUGUAGCGGUGGAAUGCGUAGAUAUCGGGAGGAACACCAGUGGCGAAGGCGACCUACUGGGCACCAACUGACGCUGAGGCUCGAAAGCAUGGGUAGCAAACAGGAUUAGAUACCCUGGUAGUCCAUGCCGUAAACGAUGAUUACUAGGUGUUGGAGGAUUGACCCCUUCAGUGCCGCAGUUAACACAAUAAGUAAUCCACCUGGGGAGUACGACCGCAAGGUUGAAACUCAAAGGAAUUGACGGGGGCCCGCACAAGCAGUGGAGUAUGUGGUUUAAUUCGAAGCAACGCGAAGAACCUUACCAGGUCUUGACAUCCGAUGCAUAGUGCAGAGAUGCAUGAAGUCCUUCGGGACAUCGAGACAGGUGGUGCAUGGUUGUCGUCAGCUCGUGUCGUGAGAUGUUGGGUUAAGUCCCGCAACGAGCGCAACCCUUACUGUCAGUUACUACGCAAGAGGACUCUGGCAGGACUGCCGUUGACAAAACGGAGGAAGGUGGGGAUGACGUCAAAUCAUCAUGCCCUUUAUGACUUGGGCUACACACGUACUACAAUGGCGUUAAACAAAGAGAAGCAAGACCGCGAGGUGGAGCAAAACUCAGAAACAACGUCCCAGUUCGGACUGCAGGCUGCAACUCGCCUGCACGAAGUCGGAAUUGCUAGUAAUCGUGGAUCAGCAUGCCACGGUGAAUACGUUCCCGGGCCUUGUACACACCGC